rnacentral:misc_RNA from 1 species
GUGAAUCAUCAAAUUUUUGAACGCAAAUUGCACUCUCCUCGGAGAGUAUGCCUGUUUGAGGGUCAGCCUAUAAAAAAUCGACAUCGUUGCUGUUUCGCGGUGGCGUUCGUCGGAAAUUGGGUCAUCUUAAAUCUUUUGGUUUUAAGCGACUUAAAUUUUUCUUUUUGUUUCAUGGAAGUUUUUUAAGUUUAUUUCUUUACACGUUUAAGGUUUUGAUUUUUUUUAGAAGUUACCAU